ACUUCCGUUAAUUGAUUAUGACGUACUUGUACUGAUUGAGAUUUUAACACGAAGUGAGUGGCGAACGGGUGAGUAACACGUGGGUAACCUGCCCAGAAGUAGGGGAUAACACCUGGAAACAGAUGCUAAUACCGUAUAACAGAGAAAACCGCAUGGUUUUCUUUUAAAAGAUGGCUCUGCUAUCACUUCUGGAUGGACCCGCGGCGUAUUAGCUAGUUGGUGAGGUAAAGGCUCACCAAGGCAGUGAUACGUAGCCGACCUGAGAGGGUAAUCGGCCACAUUGGGACUGAGACACGGCCCAGACUCCUACGGGAGGCAGCAGUAGGGAAUCUUCCACAAUGGACGCAAGUCUGAUGGAGCAACGCCGCGUGAGUGAAGAAGGGUUUCGGCUCGUAAAGCUCUGUUGUUAAAGAAGAACGUGGGUAAGAGUAACUGUUUACCCAGUGACGGUAUUUAACCAGAAAGCCACGGCUAACUACGUGCCAGCAGCCGCGGUAAUACGUAGGUGGCAAGCGUUAUCCGGAUUUAUUGGGCGUAAAGCGAGCGCAGGCGGUCUUUUAAGUCUAAUGUGAAAGCCUUCGGCUCAACCGAAGAAGUGCAUUGGAAACUGGGAGACUUGAGUGCAGAAGAGGACAGUGGAACUCCAUGUGUAGCGGUGAAAUGCGUAGAUAUAUGGAAGAACACCAGUGGCGAAGGCGGCUGUCUGGUCUGCAACUGACGCUGAGGCUCGAAAGCAUGGGUAGCGAACAGGAUUAGAUACCCUGGUAGUCCAUGCCGUAAACGAUGAUUACUAAGUGUUGGAGGGUUUCCGCCCUUCAGUGCUGCAGCUAACGCAUUAAGUAAUCCGCCUGGGGAGUACGACCGCAAGGUUGAAACUCAAAAGAAUUGACGGGGGCCCGCACAAGCGGUGGAGCAUGUGGUUUAAUUCGAAGCUACGCGAAGAACCUUACCAGGUCUUGACAUCUUCUGACAGUCUAAGAGAUUAGAGGUUCCCUUCGGGGACAGAAUGACAGGUGGUGCAUGGUUGUCGUCAGCUCGUGUCGUGAGAUGUUGGGUUAAGUCCCGCAACGAGCGCAACCCUUAUUACUAGUUGCCAGCAUUAAGUUGGGCACUCUAGUGAGACUGCCGGUGACAAACCGGAGGAAGGUGGGGACGACGUCAAAUCAUCAUGCCCCUUAUGACCUGGGCUACACACGUGCUACAAUGGAUGGUACAACGAGUCGCGAGACCGCGAGGUUAAGCUAAUCUCUUAAAACCAUUCUCAGUUCGGACUGUAGGCUGCAACUCGCCUACACGAAGUCGGAAUCGCUAGUAAUCGCGGAUCAGCAUGCCGCGGUGAAUACGUUCCCGGGCCUUGUACACACCGCCCGUCACACCAUGAGAGUUUGAACACCCAAAGCCGGUGGGGUA
rnacentral:rRNA from 1 species